UACGGGGGGGGCAAGCGUUGUUCGGAAUUACUGGGCGUAAAGGGCUCGUAGGCGGCCAACUAAGUCAGACGUGAAAUCCCUCGGCUUAACCGGGGAACUGCGUCUGAUACUGGAUGGCUUGAGUUCGGGAGAGGGAUGCGGAAUUCCAGGUGUAGCGGUGAAAUGCGUAGAGAUCCGGAGGAACCCCAGAGGCGAAGGCGGCGCCCUGGCUCGCAACUGACGCUCAGACACGACAGCAUGGGGAGCGAACGGG
rnacentral:rRNA from 1 species